rnacentral:tRNA from 1 species
GAAAUUUAUAUAGUUAAGCUGCUAACUUAAUUUUUAGUGAAAUUCAUUAAAAUUUCU